rnacentral:lncRNA from 1 species
CAAGGAGGCGGUCCCCUGCAAGAACACCCACUCCUAAAUUUCUUCAAGUUGCCUCGGCAGUUGACAGGUUACGUCACACACCAUUAGGUCACACUGCAAUAGGGAGAUCCGAGCAGUCGGUUACGAGACAGGUGCUGUGAACACCACUGUGAAAAGACUAUGGACCAAAAGGACAGGCCACAAAUAUAUGCAAAUGCGGAUUAUGGAUUAAAACGAUCUCCGCCCGUUGCCGUAGGUAUUAUGAGACCGAGAGCGGAAGCGCCGGACGCUCCAAGACCGAGACCGGAAGCGCCGUACGCUCCAGGACCGAGACCGGAAGAGCCGGACGCUCCAAGACCGAAAUCUCCGAAAAUUGUGAAAGCAUGAAAUGAGAUACACUUUACUUUCUGCUUCAAGCCUCGGAUCGCCACCUCAUCGGAACUGAAGGGCUUUGUGGCAACUGUAUAACUGUUAGAAUUACAAAAUGUAAUACCCCCUGUGGAUUUAGACCAAGGCAGUUGUAUGUUAGUACUGAUUAGUUUACUGCCAGCGUUUCUAACUUGUGACUAUUCGCCCGUUGGACGUGUCUCACGCUGUGUUCAACUUUUAUCUGCUUACGUCAAGCCUUCAUGCUUUAGCUUGGUUUAUUUUUAGUGUUAAUGAAUCCUUAAACAGACAGACAUAAAUAUAUUUUAUUUAGUAAUUUUGGCACCAAGGCCCAAAGUACAAUGCAGUUUGCAUAUCAACAUUUGUCAUGAUGUACAUUAAUAGAUUUUAAAGUUACACAUUUUUAAUUAUAAAGGCUUGUUUUAAAACUACAUCAACAGCAUGGAUCAUAUCCUCAUAUUAACUGUUAACUGACGGUCUUUAAAAAAUAUCCUGCUACAAGGGGGAAAUGCAUACCAUAAACGAGUAUAUUUUUCACAUAUAAGUAAAACAUGGUUUUCAUCCUCUUCGCCUCCUUGUAAACAAUUUGUACAAACAGAAUAAAAUAUCACCGUCUGUGAACCUGCGUCAUAUACUCAACUCCAAAAGAAAAGAGAUGUUCGAUGGGUGAUAUCAUUAAACAGAAAUGAUGUAAAAUUAUAAAAUAACUACACUUUUAAAAAGACGACGUUACAUUUUAUUUUACAUGGUAACAUUCCCCAACACGCGACUUGCGAUAAUUGCACGCACGUCUCUGAAAAAUAGAUAAAACGUGUAACACUCCUUAUUACCAGAAGGUUUGAGAAGAUUGAAAUUGAUUCAUCGGACACCUUGGUAUCUUAUCUCAAACAUUAGCUGUUCGUUUUGUAGUUUGAUUUUAAGUUUGACAUAAAAACACCCUGUCCCGUUUAACUCUUGAAAACUGGACGAGGGCAGUCUUACUCAGAAUGUUUUUUUUAUCAAGGUUACAACAUUCAAGGCCUCAGUAAUUUUUUUAUGUCGAGGAUAUUUCCAAAUUUGACGCAUCUGUGACAAAAAUCAUGUCCGAUUCAAUUCCCUAUUUUGACUUGUACUACAUGUUCCCUUAUUUAUUUAGGUGAACAAUUGACUUGCCCUUGCAUGUAUUUGUGCCGGGUGCCACCUGUGGAGCAGGAUACGCUCACCCUUUGACAAAACUAGGUAUCAUCACAAUUUGAUAGUGAUUCAUAUACAUGUAGUUGGAAUUGUAUACUCGACUCUGCUUUGUCUAGAGAUUUCUAUUGGAUAUGGAAAGGGUUUUGUCGCUUUAUUUACUGAAGCUGGAUGGGACAUGCCACGACUUGGCAGACAUAUUGAUGUCCAUCAUUCCACAACGUACAUGCUUCAGGAACAUCACCAGUUGACCAACAGUGCAGAUUAUCGUCCACCACGUGGGGCGACAGCAUGUGACGCUGGAUAGAGAAGAUCAGUUGAUGGGCACGUCACAUCUACGCGAUAGAGUCCCACGUACAACCACAACUUCUCAAAUGACGUAUGGGACUCAAUAGACCAAUCAGCGGCCAUACCCGUUACUGAAUAUGAUUCAUUUAGACUAUGUUUUCAAAUGUUGCAAAUUUUGACUUGUUUCUGUUAAAAAAAUCAUUUUUAUAGCAUGUAACUUUCACCCCUUCAAAUUCGCGUUUCUGUUAAAGUUGAUUUUACAUUUACCUUAACAUCGUGCAAGGAAAUUCCCAAUUUACAAUAAGCUCUGAUAAAACUUUUAUCUUUUAAACCAAUUAAAAUAUAUUUCAGUUUGUAAGAAUGAUUUUACUUGGCAGUCAUUGCUGAGAUGAAGUGAUAGAGAAAUCAAGGGCAUGUAUUUGUAGUUCGCGAGAACCACAAGGCUAGGCCCAGGGGUUGGUGUUCACCGAAAUGCGAGCCCUGGCGAUACAGAGGAUGGCAACUGUCCGGAAUUUAGAGAGCAAUUUGGGGACUCUUUCCAUGCCCUCUGAUGCAUUACGUCAGAAAUGAAAUGAAGUGUACAUAAAAUCACUGACACACCUUUCACUGUCAGCCCUCGUUUCGCCACGCCUAUCGUGAAGACCAUGGGAAAUAAGAUUACACAGCCUCCAGACUUGGCCUCCAUGUUAUUUUUUAAAUCACACAUUUUAGAUUUAAGAGUUUCAUUUUGCUCCUCUAAUUCUGUUAACCUGCGAUUGUAGUCAAACGUAAACGUCUCGAACUUGUCAUUGAGCGAUGUGAUCUGAGCCUGAAUCGAUCUUAGCGUUAUAGAGAUCAGAGAGGGUGAUGGGUGGACUGUCACAACACACUGGCCAGAUUCGUUUUGAGGGAUAGUCAGGUCUGAAUACGAUCUCCCGAUGUUGUAGCUGAUGUAGGUGGUCCGGGAUUAGGACUCUAUAUUGCCCGCGUUUAGCAUCAAAGUUAGUGACAGUAAACUUAAGCGGGGACUUGGACGGGGGUUGGGGGGGUCAAAUA